UACGAAGGGGGCUAGCGUUGUUCGGAAUUACUGGGCGUAAAGCGAGUGUAGGUGGUUGCCGUAGUCAGGUGUGAAAGCCUUGAGCUCAACUCAAGAAAUGCACUUGAUACUGGAAGACUAGAGGACCGGAGAGGAUAGUGGAAUUCCCAGUGUAGUGGUGAAAUACGUAGAGAUUGGGAAGAGCACCAGUGGCGAAGGCGGCUAUCUGGACGGUUUCUGACGCUAAGACGCGAAAGCUGGGGAGCAAACAGGAUUAGAAACCCUUGUAGU
rnacentral:rRNA from 1 species